GAUGAACGCUGGCGGCGGGCCUAAUACAUGCAAGUCGAGCGAACAGAUAAGGAGCUUGCUCCUUUGAAGUUAGCGGCGGACGGGUGAGUAACACGUGGGUAACCUACCUAAAAGACUGGGAUAACUUCGGGAAAGCGGAGCUAAUACCGGAUAACAUUUAGAACCGGAUGGUUCUAAAGUGAAAGAUGGUUUUGCUAUCACUUAUAGAUGGACCAGCGCCGUAUUAGCUAGUUGGUAAGGUAACGGCUUACCAAGGCGACGAUACGUAGCCGACCUGAGAGGGUGAUCGGCCACACUGGAACUGAGACACGGUCCAGACUCCUACGGGAGGCAGCAGUAGGGAAUCUUCCGCAAUGGGCGAAAGCCUGACGGAGCAACGCCGCGUGAGUGAUGAAGGGUUUCGGCUCGUAAAACUCUGUUAUUAGGGAAGAACAAAUGUGUAAGUAACUGUGCACAUCUUGACGGUACCUAAUCAGAAAGCCACGGCUAACUACGUGCCAGCCGCCGCGGUAAAAC
rnacentral:rRNA from 1 species